rnacentral:rRNA from 1 species
UACGAAGGGGGCUAGCGUUGCUCGGAAUCACUGGGCGUAAAGCGCACGUAGGCGGAUUGCUAAGUCAGGGGUGAAAUCCUGGAGCUCAACUCCAGAACUGCCUUUGAUACUGGCAACCUUGAGUCCGGGAGAGGUGAGUGGAACUGCGAGUGUAGAGGUGAAAUUCGUAGAUAUUCGCAAGAACACCAGUGGCGAAGGCGGCUCACUGGCCCGGUACUGACGCUGAGGUGCGAAAGCGUGGGGAUCAAACAGG